rnacentral:rRNA from 1 species
GGACGAACGCUGGCGGCGUGCUUAACACAUGCAAGUCGAACGGAAAGGCCCUGCUUUUGUGGGGUGCUCGAGUGGCGAACGGGUGAGUAACACGUGAGUAACCUGCCCUUGACUUUGGGAUAACUUCAGGAAACUGGGGCUAAUACCGGAUAGGAGCUCCUGCUGCAUGGUGGGGGUUGGAAAGUUUCGGCGGUUGGGGAUGGACUCGCGGCUUAUCAGCUUGUUGGUGGGGUAGUGGCUUACCAAGGCUUUGACGGGUAGCCGGCCUGAGAGGGCGACCGGCCACAUUGGGACUGAGAUACGGCCCAGACUCCUACGGGAGGCAGCGGUGGGGAAUAUUGCACAAUGGGCGGAAGCCUGAUGCAGCAACGCCGCGUGCGGGAUGACGGCCCUCGGGUUGUAAACCGCUUUCGCCUGUGACGAAGCGUGAGUGACGGUAAUGGGUAAAGAAGCACCGGCUAACUACGUG